CAGUCGCCGCGGGAAUACGUAGGGUGCGAGCGUUAAUCGGAAUUACUGGGCGUAAAGCGUGCGCAGGCGGUUCGUUAAGACAGAUGUGAAAUCCCCGGGCUUAACCUGGGAACUGCAUUUGAAACUGGCAGGCUAGAGUCUUGUAGAGGGGGGUAGAAUUCCAGGUGUAGCGGUGAAAUGCGUAGAGAUCUGGAGGAAUACCGGUGGCGAAGGCGGCCCCCUGGACAAAGACUGACGCUCAGGUGCGAAAGCGUGGGGAGCGAACAGGAUUAGAUACCCCAGUAGUCCCUGUCUCUUAUAC
rnacentral:rRNA from 1 species